GAAAAACUCCGGUGGUAUAAGAUGGACCCGCGUCUGAUUAGCUGGUUGGUGAGGUAACGGCCCACCAAGGCGACGAUCAGUAGCCGGCCUGAGAGGGUGAACGGCCACAUUGGGACUGAGACACGGCCCAAACUCCUACGGGAGGCAGCAGUGGGGAAUAUUGCACAAUGGGGGAAACCCUGAUGCAGCAACGCCGCGUGAGUGAAGAAGUAUUUCGGUAUGUAAAGCUCUAUCAGCAGGAAAGAAAAUGACGGUACCUGACUAAGAAGCCCCGGCUAACUACGUGCCAGCAGCCGCGGUAAUACGUAGGGGGCAAGCGUUAUCCGGAUUUACUGGGUGUAAAGGGAGCGUAGACGGUUUUGCAAGUCUGAAGUGAAAGCCCGGGGCUUAACCCCGGGACUGCUUUGGAAACUGUAGGACUAGAGUGCAGGAGAGGUAAGUGGAAUUCCUAGUGUAGCGGUGAAAUGCGUAGAUAUUAGGAGGAACACCAGUGGCGAAGGCGGCUUACUGGACUGUAACUGACGUUGAGGCUCGAAAGCGUGGGGAGCAAACAGGAUUAGAUACCCUGGUAGUCCACGCCGUAAACGAUGAUUACUAGGUGUUGGUGGGUAUGACCCAUCGGUGCC
rnacentral:rRNA from 1 species